rnacentral:ncRNA from 1 species
CAAAAUUCGUUGGGGUGCCGAAAGGCUGAGAGGUGCUCACGCGCCAACCCAUUGAACCUGAUCCAGGGUAAUACCUGCGUAGGGAACGGAGUUUGGCACGUC